rnacentral:rRNA from 1 species
AUGCGGAGAAGCAGUGUUGCCUGGCUGGCGAUGUGGUCAGCACUAGGAAGGACAUCGUCGAGCUCUCUUUCAAGGAUGGCGCCUGGAAGACGCUUAACUACCAUAUCGUUCUCCUCUCUAAGAGGAGGAGGGGCUAGCUCAAAGAAUGGCGUCACCGGGGAGGACGGCAGUGGCGUGCCCGUGUUCGCGGAGUACAACCUCGACGAGCUACACGCCUCCACCGAUGGCUUCGCAACGGACCACAUCAUCUUCGAGCACUGCGAGAAGGAGCCUAAUGCCGUCUACCACGGACCCUCUUCAGCUCUGGCACCACCGUCGCCAUCAAGCGCUUCGACCGCUCCGCCUGGCCUGACGCACGCCAGUUCGUGGAGGAGGCUAGGGCAGUUGGGCUGUUGCAGAGUGGUCGCUUGUCCAACCUCAUCGGAUGAUGCUACGAGGGUGGCGAGCGGCUGCUCGUUGCUGAGUUCAUGA